CUGAUAUAAUGCUCGCCGCUCCAUUUUUACCAGCAGUUGCCUUUACCACAUCGGAGGGUAAACAUAUAACGCAAAACGAACAAGAAUGUGCGACCACGAGCCCCGCCCGGUCGACACGCGCGCCAUCUGUGAGCAGGAAGCGGAAGUAGUGGAGGCGGCGGACCCAUGGCAGGAAUUCUAUGGCGAUUCGCUCUUCCUGAAGCGGGACUGGGAUCUGGAGGACUGGCGAAGCUACUAUGAUAAGAUGCCCGGUUGGGACGGAUGCGAGGGAACCGGAGUGGGCGUCUCUCACUUCGCCGAGGAGGUCUUCAGGAGGCGAGAGGCCAGCAGGGCGUUCUUCCCUCUCUGCGGCCGGACGGAAGACAUGAAGUGGGCCUACGACCUGGACACCCGUCGUGGGUCUGGACGGCGUGGAGAAACCGGUCAGGCACUUCUUCGAAAAGCACCAGGACCUCGAGCACAGCGUGGAGGAGCUCGAGUACGGAAAAUUGUACAAGAGCAAGGACCGACGCCUGCAGGUCUUCGUGUGUGACAUCAGGGACAUCGCCCUCGUGGUUCUCGGAAAGUUCGACGUCGUGGUGGACUGCGGGGCCUUCACGUCCAUCCACCCGCGAGACAGGGCCAAGUAUGUCGAGACGGUGACGUCAACGCUGCAAAAAGACUACAGGUAUUUUCUCGAAGUCUGCCACGGGGCGCCGCCAUCUGCAACGGGCCAACCCAACUCGAUAUCUUUCCGCGAGGUCAAAAGAGAAUUUGAGAAGGAAACCAUUUCCUUACGGAGCUUUUAAGGAAAAGGAUUAACACGAAUCUCACUUCGCAGGACCCUCGAGGAAACUAAAAUUCUUAAGCACCGAAGAUAUUAGCGAAGAAUGGGCCGUCGACACGUUCUUCCAGACCUACCUCGUCAUGGAACCCAAA